UACAGAGGGGGCAAGCGUUGUUCGGAAUUACUGGGCGUAAAGGGCGCGUAGGCGGCCCGCUAAGUCGAACGUGAAAUCCCCGAGCUCAACUCGGGAACUGCGUCCGAUACUGGCGGGCUUGAAUCCGGGAGAGGGAUGCGGAAUUCCAGGUGUAGCGGUGAAAUGCGUAGAUAUCUGGAGGAACACCCGUGGCGAAGGCGGCUCACUGGGCCGGUCCUGACGCUGAGGUGCGAAAGCGUGGGGAGCAAACAGG
rnacentral:rRNA from 1 species